UACGGGAGGCAGCAGUGAGGAAUAUUGGUCAAUGGGCGGAAGCCUGAACCAGCCAUUCCGCGUGAAGGAAGAAGGCGUUACGGGUCGUAAACUUCUUUUGUAAGGGGGUAACCGGGGGGACGUGUCCCCGCCUGCAAGUACCGGAAGAAUAAGGGUCGGCUAACUCCGUGCCAGCAGCCGCGGUAAUACGGAGGAUCCGAGCGUUUUCCGGAUUCAUUGGGUUUAAAGGGUGCGUAGGCGGCCCUGUAAGUCAGCGGUGAAAGGUUCCUGCUCCACCGGAAAGGUGCCGUUGAUACUGUUUGGCUAGAAUGUGAGGGAGGGGGGCGGAAUGCGGGGUGUAGCGGUGAAAUGCAUAGAUAUCGGGAAGAACGCCGGUUGGGGAGGCAGCUCGCCGGCUGAAUACUGACGCUGAGGCAAGAAAGCGUGGGGAUCGAACAGGAUUAGAUACCCUGGUAGUCCACCCAGUAAACGAUGAUGACUUGCUGUGGACGGCAACAAUUAAAGGCGAGCGAACGCACUCAGCGACCNCNGACUACCGA
rnacentral:rRNA from 1 species